rnacentral:rRNA from 1 species
AUUGAACGCUGGCGGCAGGCUUAACACAUGCAAGUCGAGCGGAGAGAGGUAGCUUGCUACCGAUCUUAGCGGCGGACGGGUGAGUAAUGCUUAGGAAUCUGCCUAUUAGUGGGGGACAACAUUUCGAAAGGAAUGCUAAUACCGCAUACGUCCUACGGGAGAAAGCAGGGGAUCUUCGGACCUUGCGCUAAUAGAUGAGCCUAAGUCGGAUUAGCUAGUUGGUGGGGUAAAGGCCUACCAAGGCGACGAUCUGUAGCGGGUCUGAGAGGAUGAUCCGCCACACUGGGACUGAGACACGGCCCAGACUCCUACGGGAGGCAGCAGUGGGGAACAUUGGACAAUGGGCGCAAGCCUGAUCCAGCCAUGCCGCGUGUGUGAAGAAGGCCUUAUGGUUGUAAAGCACUUUAAGCGAGGAGGAGGCUACUUUAGUUAAUACCUAGAGAUAGUGGACGUUACUCGCAGAAUAAGCACCGGCUAACUCUGUGCCAGCAGCCGCAGUAACAC